ACCUCCCACCCGUGUUUAUUUUACCUUGUUGCUUCGGCGGGCCCGCCUUAACUGGCCGCCGGGGGGCUUACGCCCCCGGGCCCGCGCCCGCCGAAGACACCCUCGAACUCUGUCUGAAGAUUGUAGUCUGAGUGAAAAUAUAAAUUAUUUAAAACUUUCAACAACGGAUCUCUUGGUUCCGGCAUCGAUGAAGAACGCAGCGAAAUGCGAUACGUAAUGUGAAUUGCAAAUUCAGUGAAUCAUCGAGUCUUUGAACGCACAUUGCGCCCCCUGGUAUUCCGGGGGGCAUGCCUGUCCGAGCGUCAUUUCUGCCCUCAAGCACGGCUUGUGUGUUGGGCCCCGUCCUCCGAUCCCGGGGGACGGGCCCGAAAGGCAGCGGCGGCACCGCGUCCGGUCCUCGAGCGUAUGGGGCUUUGUCACCCGCUCUGUAGGCCCGGCCGGCGCUUGCCGAUCAACCCAAAUUUUUAUCCAGGUUGACCUCGGAUCAGGUAGGGAUACCCGCUGAACUUAA
rnacentral:rRNA from 1 species